AGCCCGCUUAACUGCGAGAGUGACGGCUCGAGCAGGUACGAAAGUAGGUCAUAGUGAUCCGGUGGUUCUGAAUGGAAGGGCCAUCGCUCAACGGAUAAAAGGUACUCCGGGGAUAACAGGCUGAUACCGCCCAAGAGUUCAUAUCGACGGCGGUGUUUGGCACCUCGAUGUCGGCUCAUCACAUCCUGGGGCUGAAGUCGGUCCCAAGGGUAUGGCUGUUCGCCAUUUAAAGUGGUACGCGAGCUGGGUUUAGAACGUCGUGAGACAGUUCGGUCCCUAUCUGCCGUGGGCGUUGGAUGAUUGAGGGGAGCUGCUCCUAGUACGAGAGGACCGGAGUGGACGAACCGCUGGUGUUCGGGUUGUGUCGCCAGACGCAUUGCCCGGUAGCUAAGUUCGGCACAGAUAAGCGCUGAAAGCAUCUAAGCGCGAAGCUGGCCCCGAGAUGAGUCAUCCCUAGAGCUUCGAGCUCUCUAAAGGGUUGUUCUAGACUAGAACGUUGAUAGGCAGGGUGUGUAAGCGCUGUGAGGCGUUGAGCUAACCUGUACUAAUUGCCCGUGAGGCUUAACCAUACAACACCCAAG
rnacentral:rRNA from 1 species